GGGGAAUAUUGGACAAUGGGCGCAAGCCUGAUCCAGCCAUGCCGCGUGGGUGAUGAAGGCCCUAGGGUUGUAAAGCCCUUUCGGCGGGGAAGAUAAUGACGGUACCCGCAGAAGAAGCCCCGGCUAACUUCGUGCCAGCAGCCGCGGUAAUACGAAGGGGGCUAGCGUUGCUCGGAAUCACUGGGCGUAAAGCGCACGUAGGCGGACUCUUAAGUCGGGGGUGAAAUCCUGGAGCUCAACUCCAGAACUGCCUUCGAUACUGGGAGUCUUCGAGUUCGGGAGAGGUGAGUGGAACUGCGAGUGUAGAGGUGAAAUUCGUAGAUAUUCGCAAGAACACCAGUGGCGAAGGCGGCUCACUGGCCCGAUACUGACGCUGAGGUGCGAAAGCGUGGGGAGCAAAC
rnacentral:rRNA from 1 species